GUGAAACUGCGAAUGGCUCAUUAUAACAGUUAUAGUUUAUUUGAUAGUUAUUACUACUUGGAUAACCGUGGUAAUUCUAGAGCUAAUACAUGCGUCAAACACCCGCAUCGAGGGUGGUAUUUAUUAGAUUCAAAACCAAUGCAGGGGGCAACCCCUGGUUCCUUGGUGAGUCAUAAUAACUGCGCGAAUCGAAGUGGCCUUGUGCCGUCGAUGAUUCAUUCAAAUUUCUGCCCUAUCAUUUUUGUAGGUAGUAUAG
rnacentral:rRNA from 1 species